UACGAAGGGGGCUAGCGUUGCUCGGAAUCACUGGGCGUAAAGGGUGCGUAGGCGGGUCUUUAAGUCAGGGGUGAAAUCCUGGAGCUCAACUCCAGAACUGCCUUUGAUACUGAAGAUCUUGAGUUCGGGAGAGGUGAGUGGAACUGCGAGUGUAGAGGCGAAAAUUCGUAGAUAUUCGCAAGAACACCAGUGGCGAAGGCGGCUCACUGGCCCGAUACUGACGCUGAGGAGCGAAAGCGUGGGGAGCAACAGG
rnacentral:rRNA from 1 species